ACCCUGAAUCUUUAUACUCUUGUUCAUCUACAGUUGAAACAAAAGUGAGAAGCAUAUGGGGUUAUCUAAAUUUUCCUUUUGUUGACCUGUCUCAUUUGAGAGCUACAACUUAUUGUUUGAGGAGGAUGUGUUGUUGGUCCAAUAGAAUAUUACCUGAAACAAGAGGGGCAUUGGGUUCUGAAUUAUUAUUGGUCAUGUUCAGGACUUGACAAUGAAGCCUUGCCGUACUAGCUUACUGCAACAGUUGGCCUUUUUGCAACUUAGCAUCCAACAAUCUGCCCUUGAGUACCACCUCCACCCACCCCCAACAGUUUCCCUUUUUGCCAUUUGAUUGCAUCCAGGGGGGGCAUUUCUCUGGCAUUUAUAGCAAGGUUCGACUUAAGCCAUUAAAGUGGGUCAAAGUUGCAAAAGAUAAUUGUGAAGGAGAAGAAGAAAGAGCUGUGGAGGCACUGAUGAUUCUUAAAUAUGGUGGUGUUCUUACUCAUGCUGGCAGAAAGCAGGCUGAAGAACUGGGGAGGUAUUUUCGGAACAAUAUGUAUCCAGGUCCAGGUGAAGGUACUGGCCACAGCACCUAUCGUCAUGACUUAAAAAUAUACAGCUCGCGUACAGGUUAAAAAUAUACAGGUCAUGCCAAAUUUCACUUCAUUUUCUGCUUUGCCUUGAGUUUUUAUAUUUGGAUCCAUUAUCACAUUAUAAGCACUAGAAUCAAGUAGACAAGAUAGGUAUUAAAGUUUAGGCAUAUACGUGUUGGCAUUUGAUGAAUUAUGUUUAGAUGAUACACCUCACUCUUCCACUAUAAACCAACAAGAUUCUGUGUGUGUGCACUUUCAUCAAAAUUCAUUAUAAAGCUCCAUAUCUAUGCAAUCCCACCUGCCCCCAAUCUUACAAAUCUAAUUUAUGUGUAUACAUCACGUUUAUUAUGUUUCUAUUUUAUCAAUAUAUACCAACACACGGCCGAAAUAACACUUUAUUUAACAGUUUGAAUUUUAUUGAUUAUUUGGAUAAAAUAACACUAUAACGCUUGCAGCAUGUCACAAAAGGCAUAAUUUGAAUUUGGAUAAAUUACAACGACUUUCCCUGAUAUUUCAUAUAAUUACGAA